GAUAUAAUUAAGAAGAUUAUUUGAUUACUGUAAGCCGAAUUAUUGAGAUGGGACCAUUUAAAUGUGUGCCAAAAUUUAAAUUGCUGCAUAUUAGCUGUCCUUCAUAUUUGUCUUGCCAGUCACACUGGGUGGAAUGGCAGAUACAUACAGUGGCAAUUCCUCUUUAAUUGUAGAAGAAUGAAUGAUCUUGUGAAGUAAAAGAAUUGGGUAUACAAAAUGACUAUGAAGUUUCAAUCCAAACCAUGAAUUAACCUAGCUGUUGAUCAUGUUCAAAAUCUUGUUCUUGUAACAUUUUCCGCAGUAUUUCUUUAAAGCAUUAUUCGUCAAAACCCAGAAAGAAAAAAUUAGAAAAAAAGAGGAAGAGAAGUUCAUCUAGCUUAGAGAAGUUCAUCUAGCUUAUUGCCAAUACACAAAGAUAUCCAAGAAUCAAGAUUUUGUUCUUUCAGUGAAAUCCAGCUAUAGAUUGGAGGAGAGGAAUGGGUCAAUUGGCUCCAAAAACAUUGGAGGACAAAGUAUUUAAAUACAUUGUUUCACUAACAGUGUUCGGAAAUGUAUGUUCUCCUAAGUCUUAGGUUGUAUACUGUUGUCUAAGGUGCCAAUCUUUCAUGUU
rnacentral:misc_RNA from 1 species